GUAGUGGAGUAAAAGGCGCUUUGCCCGGUGAGGGGAGAAAUGAGAGCGAUCUGGAAGGGGUCUGCAAAACCCGGGUUGGAUUAGACAGAGAUGGGAGGAACGAAGGCAGCUGCGACAGGGCCAAAUGCACCCCGGGCACGCAAAUUUCGGGCCGGAUUCUUCCUCGGGAGACGGAGUAAUGCGUCAUGCCUAAUGCAGUGGAAACAAGCAAGACCUGGCCUAGAGUUUCCAGACCUGGGCUCGCAGGGGGCUCCGGGAGGGGGCUAUUUAGUGGCUGAGGCGGCGUGGGCUGCCCUCGUCUUCCUGGCAGCGACGUGCAAGAAGGAGGGGCAAAAGGAGGGCUGGACUCGGGCACGAAAGGAUCUGGAGCGCCGGCUGCACCGAAGCAGGCAGGUAAAAGCGGUUUCAGGAUCCAGGGGCGAUGCGAAGGGAAUGCAAUGAGGAGGCUGCUACCCUGGGAGACCAGACCUACAAUAUAAGCAUGCAGAACUUCCCUGAACCCAUGUCCCCUGCAUCAGAAACAUGGAGCAUUAACCACCAGAACACCAGGGAAUUCCUGACCAGCAUCCUUAGAAGAGAAGAGGACAGGACAGUGGAAAAGGCCACAUGAAGAUGGAGGCAGAAGUUGGGAGUGAUGCAGUCACACAGCAAGGCGCACCUGGAAACACCAGACGCUGGGUGAGGCCAAGAAUGGACUCUCCUCAAGGGCUACCUUGACUUUGGCCUGACGAUACUGCUUAUGAAUUUCUGACCUCCAGAACUGUGAGACAACAAAUUUCCAUAGGUUUUCUGGUUUGGUUUUGCUCUGGUUUUUUUUAUUUAUUUAGCUGCAUCAGGUCUCAGCUGUGGGUCACAGGACCUUCACUGUGUCACGCAGGAUCUUUCGUCAUAGGGCAUGUACACUCUAGUUGUCGUAUGUGGACUCAGCAGUUAAAGCGUUUGGGCUUCAGUAGUCACAGCACGCAGGCUUCGUUGCCCCGCAGCACGUGGGAUCUUAGUACCCCAACUGGGGAUUGAACUCCCAUCCAUCCCCUGCAUUGCAAGGCAGAUUCUUAACCACUGGGCCACCAGGAAGUCCUGGUUGCUUUUUGUUUUCUGUGGUAUUUAAGCUUCCCAGACCAUGCCUAUGUGUUACAGCAGCCACCGGAAACAAACACUUCUCUGUCCAUGGGAUUCUGCAGGCAAGAAUAUAGGAAUGGGUUGCCAUGCCCUCCUCCAGGGGAUCUUCCAGACCCAGG
ensembl:lncRNA